UUCCAUCACUCAAUUAAAUUUACAUCUGAAUUUUCAAGCGAGAAAAUUGCUUUUCUCGACACCACCACAUUUGUAAAAAACGGGGUCAUGACAACUGAUCUCCACACAAAGAAAACUGAUAAACACCAGUUCCUUUCUCCAAAAAGUUGUCACCCGAAACACUGCUCCAGGAGUAUACCUUACAGUCAAGCCAUCAGACUAAAGCGAAUUUGCUCCUCGGAAUCCAAACUUAACUAUCGUUUGGGACAACUAAAAACACAGCUGAAAUCAAGAGGAUAUAAAACCAAAAACAUCACAGACGCUUUUGAUAAAGCCCAAGAAAAAGAUCGAGCUAGCCUCAUGGAAUACAAAGAUAAGACGACCCGUGCAGAUAGAAUUCCGUUUGUUGUAACCUUCCAUCCCGAUUUGACAAAUAUUUCAUCUACUAUCCGAAAGCACUGGCGUCUUAUCGAAAAUGACUCUUCCUUAAAAGAAAUUUUUCCAUCACCUCCUGUUAUUGCCUAUCGCAGACCCAAAAAUCUCAAAGACAUACUUGUGACAUCAAAAGUAAAGAAACAAGAAACUUUUAAAUUGGGUGUUACAAACAAUGCGGUAGAAGCAAUUGUAAGUGCUGUAAAGCCGCCAACACUGACCACUCUUUCAGCAGCACAGUAACAAAGCAGCGAUACAACAUCUAUGUUACAUCUAAUUGCAAAACGGAAAAUAGUAU
rnacentral:lncRNA from 1 species